rnacentral:rRNA from 1 species
AAUGAACGUUGGCGGCGUGGAUUAGACAUGCAAGUCGUGCGAGAACCGUAGCAAUACGGGGACAGCGGCGAAAGGGAGAGGAAUACGUGGAUACCUACCCUCAGGUUCAGGAUAGCCAUGGGAAACUAUGGGUAAUACUGAAUAAUAUCUCCGGAUCAAAGGUGUGAUUCCACCUGAGGAGGGGUCCGCGUCCUAUUAGCUAGUUGGUGAGGUAACGGCUCACCAAGGCGAAGAUGGGUAUGGGAUGUGAGAGCAUGAUCCCACUCACUGGGACUGAGACACUGCCCAGACACCUACGGGUGGCUGCAGUCGAGAAUCUUCGGCAAUGGGGGCAACCCUGACCGAGCGACGCCGCGUGCGAGAUGAAGGCCUUCGGGUUGUAAAUCGCUGUCAGAGGGGAGGAAAUGCUAGUGGGUUCUCCCACUAGUUUGACCUAGCCUCAGAGGAAGGACGGGCUAAGUUCGUGCCAGCCGCCGCCGUAAAAC